rnacentral:rRNA from 1 species
AUUGAACGCUGGCGGCAGGCUUAACACAUGCAAGUCGAACGAUGAUUACCAGCUUGCUGGUAUGAUUAGUGGCGAACGGGUGAGUAAAUGCUUAGGAAUCUGCCUAUUAGUGGGGGACAACAUUCCGAAAGGAAUGCUAAUACCGCAUACGUCCUACGGGAGAAAGCAGGGGAUCGCAAGACCUUGCGCUAAUAGAUGAGCCUAAGUCGGAUUAGCUAGUUGGUGAGGUAAAGGCUCACCAAGGCGACGAUCUGUAGCUGGUCUGAGAGGAUGAUCAGCCACACUGGAACUGAGACACGGUCCAGACUCCUACGGGAGGCAGCAGUGGGGAAUAUUGGACAAUGGGCGGCAAGCCUGAUCCAGCAAUGCCGCGUGUGUGAAGAAGGCCUCGG